rnacentral:lncRNA from 1 species
UGUUGAGUGAGUGAGGUGGUUGUGCGAAGUGUGGUUUGUGUUAACAUGUCUCUUGCAUUAUAAAUAUUGAUACGCUUUCAUAUCGCUACGAAGUGUAAACAGAAAUUUGAACAAAGUUCUCGACAAGUGCAUUAUUCCGUGAGAAUGGUGUAAAUAUAUGUGCAUCACAUUAGGGUGACAUCGGGAUUCGAUUUUUCUUAAUUAUCUGAUGCCGAACAACAUGUGAACUGAAGCCUGGAGCGUUCGAACGCUUUGAAGGAAUUCACCGCGAGUCUGAAGACGCCGUCCAUUGACAAGAUGACGCCGACGCGGGAGGCCGGAGCCAGCAUGCCGAUAUGUUCCCCGGCCGCCGGCGACACCUGAGACGCGGGGCGGCAUGGAGGAGAAGCGGGGCGCGGG